GGGAGGCCUGGGGCUGGAGAUAGUUCCAGUUAUUAGAAAGAUCUUCUUACAAGCCAUUCCUGCAGCUCGGGCUGCAGGGUCAGGAGGAGGCUGGAGGGAGGGAAACCUGGGUCAGGGGAGCAGGGGUUGGGGGAGCUUGUGAAUGUGGAGGUCAGAGAACCCACAUGCUCCUAGCUGAUAAAGAUGCAGAACCCCAAAUUAAAGAGGUGUACCCCAGCUCUGGGAAUGCCUGAGAAUGCUGGAGAAUUCCUGGAGGACUCCUCCUCCUCCUACACACACACACACACACACACACACACACACACACACACACACACACACGAGCAAUGUUCUUCUCUGCCUUCCUACUCCCUUUCAGCUCUACCACCAGGCAGAGCAGAGGGUGCAGCAAGUGCGUCUGUGCUCCAGGGUCCCCCCAAGCCCACAGAACCCCUAAAUAGGAAAGGGGAGCCCCCAAAAUGGAGAAAGCACCAGGUCUCUCUGCAGAGCUCCCUGAUAAGUGGGAAUCGAUCUAAUUUCAUUGUCCCCUCCAGUAAGAUCCCUCUCUUGCUCCUCCACUGCUUUCCCUUCCCCUUGUCUCCCCUGGGUGAUUCUGAGCACAGACUCAGUCUUUCUGGGAGAUGCCAACUCACAUCAUCCUAACCCUCCGCUAACCUCACCCUCCAACUCCACCAGGCCUUCCCCAGACCAGAGCCCCCAUCCUGAAGGAUGCUGGGACUCUCAGCCACCCCAGAGAAGGUGGCCCACCCAUAUGCAUGUCAGUGGUCUCUGUGGGCCCCUGCCAAGAACAUCUUUUGGAGUGUCUGCCUCCCCUCUACCUUAACGCUGAACCCCAGCUGGGAGCUAGGCCCCCCUUCCUCUGCAUCCCCACCCUGUCCUGCCCUCAUGCCCUCUCAGAGUGCAUCCAACCCAGGCAGAUGAGGGAUCAAUGCCAAUCCAAUAACGCAGUUGUCUGCCCUCUGCAGCUACAUUAAGCCUCCCCCAGCAAGCUGAGGAAACUCUCCUACUUCUACCCAUGGGCUUAUCUAGUUGACCACAUUAAACCAGCGCCCACUUCCUCUCACUCCCUCUGAUGGCGCCAGGUAGUCGCUCCAGGCCAGGCCUAGGAGCCCGGCCCAAUGUCCCCAGCUGCCACACAUCCAUUCCUCAGAAAGUUCCUCUGGGGAGCAGUGAUGCAAAAGGGCUUCCCCAAUCUUUUGGAAGAGUGAGCACAGAGAAGUCUGGGGAGGUGCCCAUGGACACACAGCAGGCCCAUCUGAGUCUUCUCUAACCACCCAUUUCCCUGGUAACUUGGCCUUGGUCCAGGUCCAAGGUCCGCGUUAAAGACAAGUCAGAGGCCCAGGUUCAAAGUCUAGGUCGAGGUCUAACAUUCAGUCCAAUCAUCCAAGUACAGAUCUGAGGUCCAAGUCCAAUGCCUAGGUCAAACUUCAGGUAUAGGACCAGGUCCAUGGACUAGGUACAAGGUCAGUGUCUGAGGUUAUAGGUCCAGGUCUGCUAUCCAGAACAAAUCCAUGUCCAAUUUCAAAUUUCAAUAUCUAUGAACAGGUCCAGGGCAAAGCGCUGGGUCCAGAAUCAAGAUUCAGGCCCAGUUUCCAGUCCAAGGUCAUGUCCAGAUCUAUUCUCAAGGCUGGCCUGAGUUCAAGUCUUAGAUUCACCAUUAGCCUUCCGGGUGGUCCUGGCCUAGUCUCUCCUCUCCUCCCAGCCUCCGUUUCCCUUUCAUGAUACCAAACAGUUGAAUAUGAUCUCUUUCAGCUUUGACCUUCUAGGGACCCAGAAAUCUAAUUUUCCUGUGAAUUAACAGGGCUCAGUGGAAGUGUGGAAUGAUGAGACCCAUGUGAGAUACGGAAUCUGGGAACCCCUGAUUUCCUCUAAAGCCUGGGGUUACGAGAGGGUCAUGAGGGUCCCGAGCUGAGCUUCCACACUUUAGAGAGUCUCAGUCUUUGACUGCUGAAGGAGGGCGGGAGAGUACACCAAGUCCCUUAUGUCAGUGCAGCAGUCUACACAUCCCAAAGGCACUCUCUGGCCACACAAAUCCACAGUGGGCAAAGGGCAGGGGGGGCAGGGGAGGAUUCACUCCAACCUACAGAGGCAAAACUGAGGUCACAGAGGGGCCAUGACUUGCCCGAAGUCACAAGAGCAUAAAUGGUGUGCCCUGUCACACCUCCCUGGUGGGUGCUACAUCCACAGGUUCUAGGGGCCCCCACAGCCUGGAGGCCCUCUGCCAGGAGAGAUGGGGUCCCUCAGGCCUCUUGGUCUCCUUCCCAGCUGUGGACUCCCCUGCAGUGAAGUGUCUACUGCCAGCCUUUGGGCAAAUGAGCAGCCUUUGUUAAAGGCGCCCCUACUUUAUAAAGAGCCCCUUGCAACAAGAGUAAAGUCAACAGUGCUGAAGGCCACCAGCAGAGGGCGCCAUGGGCAGAGCACCUCAUUGAGAACGCUCUGGUUCACUGAUGGAGCUCCUACUAUGCACCAGAAAUUUUCCCAUCAGAAUGUGAAAUAGAAAUUACACAUCCUGGGUGAGGAAACAGAGGCCCAGAGAGGAGCAGUAAAAUGUGUUGGGGCAGACGCCAAGAAAGCUGCAGCACAGAAACCCAUCUGGGGAGAUUGUUAUUGUUGUUCAUGGUAACAGCCAACAUGCAUGGUGGAUUUAAAAUGUGCCAGCCACUGAGCUGGAAUCCUGACUCUAACUUAUUAGCUGCACAAUCUUAGGCUUGUUACUUAA